CCGUCGAUAGCUCAGUUGGUAGAGCGGAGGACUGUAGAUCCUUAGGUCGCUGGUUCAAGUCCGGCUCGACGGA
rnacentral:tRNA from 1 species